CUGAGAAAGGAGGAGCCGCCUGACACUAAUCCCGCUCUCGCGAGCACUGAAACUAUCGCGAGAUCUGACGCCCGACUUGUGCGCCCGGGAAACCCCGUCGUUCCCUUUCCCCUGGCUGGCAGCGCGGAGGCCGCACGAUGCCUGGAGUUACUGUAAAAGACGUUAACCAGCAGGAGUUCGUCAGAGCUCUGGCAGCCUUCCUCAAAAAGUCCGGGAAGCUGAAAGUACCCGAAUGGGUGGACACAGUCAAGCUGGCUAAGCAUAAGGAGCUUGCUCCCUACGAUGAGAACUGGUUCUACACACGAGCUGCUUCCACAGCACGGCACCUGUACCUCCGGGGCGGUGCUGGGGUUGGCUCCAUGACCAAGAUCUAUGGGGGGCGUCAGAGAAAUGGCGUCAUGCCCAGCCACUUCAGCCGCGGCUCCAAGAGUGUGGCCCGCCGGGUCCUCCAAGCCCUGGAGGGGCUGAAAAUGGUAGAAAAGGACCAAGAUGGGGGCCGCAAAUUGACACCUCAGGGACAGAGAGAUCUGGACAGAAUUGCCGGACAGCUGCUUGAACAUCUGGGUGCUGCACUAGAAGGAACCCAGGCCCAGGGCACCACCUGGCAUCUGCAUUGUACAUAGCUGCACCCGCACACGUGACUGCCUCUUCCCUGAUCAGGCUACUUACAGAUUCUGGCUGCAGUGCUCCUUCUGGCUUAUGCUUCAUGCUUACUGAGCAUCAGACAGAGGUGGCAGCUGCCAACAAGAAGCAUUAGAACAAAUGAUGCUGGGUUAAUAAAUUGCCUCAUUCGUAA